GCCUCAGUAGCUCAAUGGAUAGAGCGCUUGACUUCGGAUCAAGAGGUUCCGGGUUCGACCCCUGGCUGGGGCG
rnacentral:tRNA from 1 species